AAAAUAAAUCCCCGCUCUACAGAAGCCAUCAGCAAAUAUUUCUUUACACAAGCAACCACAUCUAUAAUUCUCAUGAUAGCUAUCAUUUCCAAUAACCUGUCUUCUGGACAAUGAACAAUAAUAAAUACUAUUAAUCAAUUUUCAUCCUUAAUAAUAAUAACGGCCCUAGUAAUAAAACUAGGAAUAGCCCCCUUUCACUUCUGAGUCCCAGAGAGGACCCAAGGAACUUCUCUAAUAUCUGGCAUACUUCUCCUUACAUGACAAAAACUAGCCCCUAUCUCGAUUAUAUUUCAAAUUUUCCCAUCAAUAAACAUGAACAUCCGCCUAUCUAUCACAAUCCUAUCCAUUAUAGUGGGCAGUUGAGGAGGACUCAAUCAAAUACAACUGCGAAAAUCCUAGCCUACUCCUCAAU
rnacentral:lncRNA from 1 species